rnacentral:rRNA from 1 species
AGCAGCCGCGGUAAUUCCAGCUCCAAUAGCGUAUAUUAAAGUUGCUGCAGUUAAAAAGCUCGUAGUUGAAUUUCGGGAUCAAUAUGUUGGUCGUGCCUUGGUACGUACUAGCUUAUUGGUUUCUCCCUUCUGACGAACCAUGAUGUCAUUAAUUUGGUGUCAUGUGGAAUCAGGACUGUUACUUUGAAAAAAUUAGAGUGUUUAAAGCAGGCUCACGCUUGAAUACAUUAGCAUGGAAUAAUGAAAUAGGACGUUUGAUUCUAUUUUGUUGGUUUCUAGGAUCGACGUAAUGAUUAAUGGGGAUAGUUGGGGGCAUUAGUAUUCAAUUGUCAGAGGUGAAAUUCUUGGAUUUAUUGAAGACUAACUACUGCGAAAGCAAUUUGCCAAGGAUGUUUUCAUUAAUCAAGAACGAAAGUUAGGGGAUCGAAGACGAUCAGAUACCGUCGUAGUCUUAACCAUAAACUAUAGCCGACUAGGGAUCGGAUGAUGUUAAUUUUUAAUGACUCAUUC